CCUACAUGGGGGCUGGGGGCACAGGCACUGGGGGAGAGGAGCUUGGGGUGUCAGGAACUUCAGCUGCUGGUUCAG
rnacentral:miRNA from 1 species